UCCCUGGGACCCUGGCUAAGCUGGCCGCGCUCGGUCGCUCGCUCUCGCGCUGGCCUCCCGGUGCUCGGCUCCUUUCUCUCGGCGAGGGUGGGCCGGCGCCUGCCUCACCGUGACAUCACCUCCAUUCAGGCGCUUAUCGGCCGCCCGCAGCGCUCCAGGGCUACACCUGGCAGGAGGGUCAUUAGAAAGCUACCAACACACCUGGAGGUUCUUUGCAUCCAAUUUUCGUAGACGAUAUUGCUCAUUCAAAGGAGACCAAGGAGCCACCUACAUCCACCUGACCAGCGUAACCCAAGGGAGCUGGCCUUAACCUUGGCCUCUCUUGGGCUCAAAAGAAUCCGGACAGAUGUGCUCCAGGGGCCACAGAGGGUGUGAGCAUUCCCUCCCUCUGUCCCUGGGUCUCCUCCAACACAGCACACCCUGCAGGGGCAUCUGUGCGCCUCCAUCCUGGCCUCACUCUCUCUUGCCUGGACUAUCCCAUUGGUCUCCUGAAGGGUCUCCAGCCUCCUGACUUGUGAAUCCAUCCUCUCUAACGCCAUCGGCGGGAUCGUUGUAGAACACAAACCGAAGAACCUUUCAAGCUCCGCCUGCCAUACAGAGAGGCCUUCAGUGCUGGUACCAGCCCACUUUCCCAACUUCGUCUUCCGCCAUCGGCCACCGUCUCCCACCUGUCAGGCUCCAGCCACACUGAACUCCUCACUGUUUUUAGCUGACUUCAGGGCUGGAAUAAAGGGGUGUGGCGCUGCUGUGUGCUUGGACAUGUAGACUUCGCCUCGUACCCGCCUUCUAGGUCCGGGCACUGUGCUGACUCAAGCAUCUCCCUAACCUUGCAUGAUGGUCAGAUGUACAGGAUCCAGAGUUAAACAGGCCCAGGGCCAAGUCCUGCCUUCCCCACUAACUUGGUGUAUUCUUUGGGCAAAUUGCUUCACCUUUUUGACCCUCAGUAUGUCCAUCUAUAAAACGGACAUACUAAUGCCCGCCUCCUGGGGUUACUGUGAGGAUUCUAUGAGAUGGUGCAUAUAGAAUACUGAGCCCAGGGCCUGGCACAUGGAAGAUGCUCAGCAGAUGCUGCCUCUUCUAUGA